rnacentral:rRNA from 1 species
UACAGAGGGUGCGAGCGUUGUUCGGAAUUACUGGGCGUAAAGGGCGCGUAGGCGGUGCUCUAAGUCGGAUGUGAAAACUCUGGGCUCAACCCAGAGCCUGCAUCCGAAACUGGAGUGCUAGAGUUCUGGAGGGGGUAGCGGAAUUCCUGGUGUAGCGGUGAAAUGCGUAGAUAUCAGGAGGAACACCGGUGGCGAAGGCGGCUACCUGGACAGAAACUGACGCUGAGGCGCGAAAGCUAGGGGAGCAAACAGG